rnacentral:rRNA from 1 species
ACGCUCGACACCUACGGGAGGCAGCAGUAGGGAAUCUUCCACAAUGGACGCAAGUCUGAUGGAGCAACGCCGCGUGAGUGAAGAAGGUUUUCGGAUCGUAAAGCUCUGUUGUUGGUGAAGAAGGAUAGGGGUAGUAACUGGCCUUUAUUUGACGGUAAUCAACCAGAAAGUCACGGCUAACUACGUGCUAGCAGCCGCGGUAAUCUGAGCGGGCUGGCAAGGC